GUCCACCAGCCUUCUGAGUCAGCCCUGCCUCUCCUGGGGCGCGCGACUUUUCUGUUCAUACUGACCCUUAGGAAUCCAGGAAGCCUUCUCUGUUUAACAGCCUGACCAGCCUUUGAUGUCUAUACCGACUACUCACCCCCACCACAGCUCGCUCUCUCUCACACUGUCUACACUGACUUCUCAGUCCCACCACCUCUCGGUCUACACAUGCUGUCUACACAGACCCUAACUUCUAACCCUAAUAGAAGAGAUUUGGCCAGAGGCGUGUGGGACCCCCAAUGAGGGCUUUUCCAUUAUGCUAGAAUAUUUCACUCUGGGCACAGUCUUCUCCACCCCGACCGCUCUCCUAAUCUGGUUUUUAUUCCCCGACCUCUCCCUCCUCCCCUACAUCCCCUUUACCUGGUUUUGAGUUUCAGAGGAAAUAUCUGUACCUGCCCUCCUCCUCCACCCCUGUCUGAAUGUAAAGGCCUGAGGGCCCAAUCCUCAUCCUCCACCCUCCCUCCGCUCCCCCGGGUAAAGGCCUGAGGCCUGAGGCCUUGCUAGAAAUUGGAGUUGGGGUGCUGUAGGUAGUGUGGGGAGCUGGCUGUGGGGGCCCAGCUGGGAGGAGCUGGCCUGGGGAGGGCUUUGCCAGUCCUUGCCUCCAUCUACCAGGGCCAAGGAGGACUGAGCCGGUAAAUAUUUUCUUCUCAGCUCCCCCCCUGUGAUGUCUGAUCCAGGCCUCUGCUCUCCUUGGCUGUAAACUCAGCGCACGGAUUGUGUCUUCUUUAAUAUUUUGUAGGAAGCAGAGUACAGUGUCGUGGCUGAUAAAUAAUAAAUAAUAAUAAUCUACUGAGGGUAGCAGGAGCACUGUCAGAAAUGGAAUGAGGACGCCGGGGAAAUGGCCCACUAGUGUCAGAAUAACUGCAUUUCCUGGAAAAAACAUCCAACAGAGUUUGUGUGUGUGAAGCCCGGGACUCAAGGGAGGGGACAGAGCGGAGCACUUCAGGGAGGAAGCCACCCUUCAUGAGGACGACAGCCAGGAAAACUGGCGUGACCUUAAGAGAGGGUGACAGAGGUGCCGAAAAGGGGAGCAGGAGUGGGGGGGAGGGGGAGAAAAGCUCCCCAAGGGUCCUCAGACAACACCUGAAGGUGAUCGAUAGCUUUGGUUUGAGUACUAUGUCCUUCAAAUGGUAUAUGAAAAGUGAUAGAAGAGUACUAGAUAGCAAAAUGGAAAAAAGAGGGAUUUCUUGGGAUUUCAAAUUGAUACACAGGUCAACCCAAUGCAAAAAGAAGGAGAACAAAGCCACAGGCGUGUGUCUGUUCAUCCACGCUGUAGGAAGCUGUCCUCUGAGAUAAUCUCCAUGGAUGCACUGACUGUGAACAUGCAGAAGUCCACCCAGCCGUAUUCUGGAGUAGCGCCCUAUGUGACAGCUGUAGGCACUACAGAAAUGUGGCCAAGGUUUGCAGGGUCUGGGAUAGGUUAAGAUCUGGCAAUGUGAGGCACUCACAGUGUCUUACAGAUGAUUUUGAAUGAUCCUCAGUUGAAAGAAGAAAAUAGGAACUCCAAGAAUCCUUAUUCAGCUACCUCUCCAGAUGAAGGAGAAAGGAUGCUCCCAAUUUCCCUGCUGGCAGCAUCAGAAAAGAGAGCUGUGCUGAGGUCUUAUCCAGAGGAGGACCUACUCGGGCCAUGGUGGUGCGAAGGGCGCUGGUUCUGGGGCACCGCAAACUCUUCAGGGCUGAAGUUUGGUAACAGCUCACCAGGGGAGCCAGCUUGUCAGGGAGAAUGAGAAAAGCUGUGUGAAUUAGACUCCCAGUGGGCUUGUCUACCCUGUCCUCACCCAUCCUCGUUUUAUCCAAGGCUUCCUCGUCAUUGAUGCUCUGCCCUGCUGGGAGCUGUUUAGUGUGGACACAGCCAUUUAUGAAGGGUCUGCGCUGGUCUGCAUAUGAGUUCCAUUUCAGAGUGCUGUUGUUCACAUGAUCUGUCCCAGCGCAUCUAGUGUCUUGGCAACAUAAACUGGAUUUGCAUUGUGUCAGGGGUCUCCUCUCUCUCUCUCUCUACGUAGAUCUUGCUGGUGUCUGGGAUCUUUUUUGGGUCAUUCUUUGCUCUACUCUGUGGCCCAUGGGAUGGGCCCCAUGACUGGCAUGGAUCUCUCUGUGUGGUUCAUGGGACUCGUGUGUUGUGCCCAGAAACCUCUUACACCAUGGUCAAAGAUUUCUCCAUGAAACACAGGAUUGACUUGGUGGUGUGUUCUCCAAAAGCCAACCCUCCCUGUCCUGAGCCCCAAUCUGGGCACUGGGAUCAGGACUAAUGUGUACACUCCAAGCAGAUGGGUAGUGAAGGAGCGGACUCAUAGUGCAUAGGGAAGUGGACUGGAACACUCCAGGACAUCCAUUCCCCGCUCAGAUCAUAGACCAUUAUCUGUGCAGUCAAUCAGACAAGGACUUGUACUGGAAAGGCCACCAUCACCCAAGGAGGAACCAGAGGAAGUCACAUCAGGAACACCUGGGGUGCCACAUAAACCCACAGUGGCCAAGGUGGACUUCUGUCCUUGUCUGUGUUUAUGAUAAUAGCCACAACAAAAGGACCUUUACCCAGUGGCUACUAUAUGUCAGGCACUGUACCAAGAACUCUACCCAUGAUAUCUUGUUAAUCCUCACAGCAACCUGUGGAAUUGGUGUUAUCAGCCCCCAAAACUGAGUUCCAGAGAGGGUAGAUGAGAACCUGCAAUCACACAGUAAGUGACAGUGCUGGAAUUUCAGCCUGAUUGUCCCAAAGCCUCUGUUCUUUUUACCCCACCAAACACACAAAUGCAGUUUCUUUUGUCAUUAGCCCAGUGCUUUUCCCUUGGAGUAGAUACAGUAGAUGCUGAUUUUUGCCUUCAUCAGCAAAAGUCUUUACCCCAGACACAUAACUGGAGAUCAGUCAUAGAACAGAGAGCACUAAUGUAGAAGGGCACAGGUCCCUUUGAUUACUGAACACUCAGGUCACUCGGAAGAGUGGAAGCCUCAUCAGAAACCUUCGGGUUUGACAGGACAUCUGUUUCCAGGAGCACGGUGGGUGUAAACAGAGCAGCUGCCAGCCUCUGUCCUGGUUGGGGUUUUGUGUUUGCUGGUUUUUCUUUUUUUUUUUUUUUAAACACAUUAUACUCUAUUAAAACCACCCCUAUUUGGCAUCAAAAGCAUUAAUAAAUCCCACAUAAGGCACAGUCCCUCCAGUGGUUAAUCAAUCCAUAAAAAUCUAUUUAGCACCUACUGUGUGUCCAGCAUUUCAAUCCCAUGACGUUGAUUAAAGCAGGAAGUAAGGAGUCACAGCUGCCAAAUUUUCACCAUGGCCACCGUGCUCUGUGAUGUGUCACAAAGGCAUUUGCCAAUCAUGCAAUCAACCAUUUACUGAGAACCUGCUUUGUUGCUCAACUCUGUGCUGGCGACUCUCAGGAAGACAGGGAAGCUUGACUACAUUUCCCAGCGUCCUUUGGAGUGAGACUACAUCUCCCAGCAUCCUGGCAGUUAGACAAUUUUCUAGUCUCCUUUGCAGGGAUCUUGGAAGCCCCAUGUUGAAGGUGGCAGAGCAACAAAAAUUGAGGAAACCCUGAAUCCCUGAAUUACUAUUUGGAGAUGACCACCCACUAAUUCGGAACACUCAUUAUUGGGCUUUAGGAGAAUGAGAAGUUCUAUCAUGUUUGAGACUCCGUACAUCUUUGGAUUUGUUUUAACAGCUAGUUUUACCCUGGCUAACAUGGCAAUUGACAGCCUCUGAGAGGAGAUUUGGAGAAUCUGCUUUUUUAACAAGUACUCCAGGGGAGUUUGAGAAUCACUGCUGAAAGCCAAGGGGAGCCAGCCACCCAAGGAUUUAACGCUGACCAAGGAACACCACGCUAUUUGCAUUUUAGAAUGACAGCAAGGGAGCAGAACUCUGCCCCCUUCUUGUCUGCCAAGGAGAACAAUCUACUGACUCAAAAGAAAAAGAAAACUUUGGUAAGAGAAAAUUGAAGCUCUAGAUGAGUGAAAAGAUUCUAACAGCACCAAGCUGCCGUAAAUGAGCUCAAGUCUCCUGGCCAGGACAAAUUACACUCCAGGGAGUAGAGAGAACUCGCCUCUGAAGCUGUAAAGCCUCUGCUGAUAAUCUUUACAGAACAUGGAGACUGUGAAAGAAAUUGGAACGCUAGAAAUGGCAAAAUAUAGCUCUGAUUAGUAAAGAGGGGGAAAGCUUCUGCAAACUACAAAAGUGGGGCUAUCCUAUCCAUCCUCAUUAAAUUCCCUGAUCAGACUACUUAAGGCUGAGCUGUGAGUACGUGAAAAAUGGAGCAGAAUCCUCUAGAAGCCUGUGUGGGUUCUUUAAGAGCAAGCCACGACAAGAUGAAAAAACAAGAGCCUAAAGAAGGGAGGCAACUUUUCCAAAGCCACACAUUAAACCUGUGGCAGUUAAGAGCCAGAACUGUGGUAUCCUGGCCCUCAGCCCCACACCUCUACUGCAAUACCUGGGAUGUGGGCCCAUGGAUUGAUUUAUGGAUUUUGACUAACAUAUCUUCAAUUGAGCAAUCACUCGGAUGAUCGAUUGAACACUCCUUCACCAAACAAGGCUGGAGGCCUGGGAUGGACGCCGGUGGUUUGAGAUAUGCAGAAGAAAUGGGUCCUGCCCUCCGGAACACUCCAGAGAAUAUCAUGGCACUUUAUAACAUCAGUGUCAAUCAGCAUUGAUUGACAAGCCCCCUGGACUUUGGAUGACUUCUCUGAAGCCCCAGCUGUGCCUGGCUGGGCCAUCUCCCUUCUCCACUUGGCCACAGCAUAAACUGCAGUCAAGCCACAGGAGUGACCUCAAGGCCUCAGGCCACUUUUCCAGCCUCAGCUUUUCUUAGGGGCCCAGCCCACUUACAAUAGAAAUUUGCCAAAGACUGGGUUGGUAAGUAAUGGAUAAGUUUUCAUAUUUACUAUUUUCAUUUCUGAAUCUCUCUUUACAUGCAGUUAAGCCAGGAAAUCCUGAAAGAACACUCUUCAGAAUGUUUUUAAGUAAAACAACAAGUUUCUGUUAAUUUAGGGCCAACCCAUGAGUAAACAGAUAGAGCCUGAGGUAUUCUGCACCCUGUAAUUUGUGGACUUCUUAGGAUCUUUUAAAAUAAAGAUGAAUAGUGGG
rnacentral:lncRNA from 1 species